UCUGGUCAUGCCAUCCUGACCGUGACCAAUCUUGUCAGAUCUUGGAAACUAAGCAGGGUCAGGCCCAGUUGAAUGGAAGAAUCUCCUGGAAAUAUUCACAGAAAGGUCAGAC
rnacentral:rRNA from 1 species